GACGAACGCUGGCGGCGUGCUUAACACAUGCAAGUCGAACGGAAAGGCCCUGCUUUUGUGGGGUGCUCGAGUGGCGAACGGGUGAGUAACACGUGAGUAACCGGCCCUUGACUUUGGGAUAACUUCAGGAAACUGGGGCUAAUACCGGAUAGGAGCUCCUGCUGCAUGGUGGGGGUUGGAAAGUCUCGGCGGUUGGGGAUGGACUCGCGGCUUAUCAGCUUGUUGGCGGGGUAGUGGCUUACCAAGGCUUUGACGGGUAGCCGGCCUGAGAGGGUGAACGGCGACAUUGGGACUGAGAUACGGCUCAGAGUGCUACGGGAGGCAGCAGUGGGGAAUAUUGCACAAUGGGCGGAAGCCUGAUGCAGAAACGCCGCGUGCGGGAUGACGGCCUUCGGGUUGUAAACCGCUUUCGCCUGUGACGAAGCGUGAGUGACGGUACUGGGUAAAGAAGCACCGGCUAACUACGUG
rnacentral:rRNA from 1 species